rnacentral:rRNA from 1 species
UUUAUGGAGAGUUUGAUCCUGGCUCAGAGUGAACGCUGGCGGCGUGCCUAAUACAUGCAAGUCGAACGAUGAAGCUUCUAGCUUGCUAGAAGUGGAUUAGUGGCGCACGGGUGAGUAACGCAUAGGUCAUGUGCCUCUUAGUUUGGGAUAGCCAUUGGAAACGAUGAUUAAUACCAGAUACUCCCUACGGGGGAAAGAUUUAUCGCUAAGAGAUCAGCCUAUGUCCUAUCAGCUUGUUGGUAAGGUAAUGGCUUACCAAGGCUAUGACGGGUAUCCGGCCUGAGAGGGUGAACGGACACACUGGAACUGAGACACGGUCCAGACUCCUACGGGAGGCAGCAGUAGGGAAUAUUGCUCAAUGGGGGAAACCCUGAAGCAGCAACGCCGCGUGGAGGAUGAAGGUUUUAGGAUUGUAAACUCCUUUUGUUAGAGAAGAUAAUGACGGUAUCUAACGAAUAAGCACCGGCUAACUCCGUGCCAGCAGCCGCGGUAAUACGGAGGGUGCAAGCGUUACUCGGAAUCACUGGGCGUAAAGAGCGCGUAGGCGGGAUAGUCAGUCAGGUGUGAAAUCCUAUGGCUUAACCAUAGAACUGCAUUUGAAACUACUAUUCUAGAGUGUGGGAGAGGUAGGUGGAAUUCUUGGUGUAGGGGUAAAAUCCGUAGAGAUCAAGAGGAAUACUCAUUGCGAAGGCGACCUGCUGGAACAUUACUGACGCUGAUUGCGCGAAAGCGUGGGGAGCAAACAGGAUUAGAUACCCUGGUAGUCCACGCCCUAAACGAUGGAUGCUAGUUGUUGGAGGGCUUAGUCUCUCCAGUAAUGCAGCUAACGCAUUAAGCAUCCCGCCUGGGGAGUACGGUCGCAAGAUUAAAACUCAAAGGAAUAGACGGGGACCCGCACAAGCGGUGGAGCAUGUGGUUUAAUUCGAAGAUACACGAAGAACCUUACCUAGGCUUGACAUUGAGAGAAUCCGCUAGAAAUAGUGGAGUGUCUAGCUUGCUAGACCUUGAAAACAGGUGCUGCACGGCUGUCGUCAGCUCGUGUCGUGAGAUGUUGGGUUAAGUCCCGCAACGAGCGCAACCCCCUUUCUUAGUUGCUAACAGGUCAUGCUGAGAACUCUAAGGAUACUGCCUCCGUAAGGAGGAGGAAGGUGGGGACGACGUCAAGUCAUCAUGGCCCUUACGCCUAGGGCUACACACGUGCUACAAUGGGGUGCACAAAGAGAAGCAAUACUGCGAAGUGGAGCCAAUCUUCAAAACGCCUCUCAGUUCGGAUUGUAGGCUGCAACUCGCCUGCAUGAAGCUGGAAUCGCUAGUAAUCGCAAAUCAGCCAUGUUGCGGUGAAUACGUUCCCGGGUCUUGUACUCACCGCCCGUCACACCAUGGGAGUUGUGUUUGCCUUAAGUCAGGAUGCUAAAUUGGCUACUGCCCACGGCACACACAGCGACUGGGGUGAAGUCGUAACAAGGUAACCGUAGGUGAACCUGCGGUUGGAUCACCUCCUUUCUAGA